CUCGUGAUAACAAUUUCUGAUGAUAGGCAUGAUAAAGGAAGGAUUUUUAAAUACAAAUUUUGAGAAAUUAUGCAAAAAACCAUAAUUAAACAGAAUUUGGUUGCAUGUUUGUGGUUUAAACGGGGAUUAAAAUAAGCAGGCUAAAUAAUCCGGGUUUUCACUGGGUUCACUUUCACCCUGGUGGUGCUUCGAUAGUUGACAACGUGCUGUCCUGUGGACGGGAAAUCAAUCCGUUGCUAAGUUGUUGUUUGCACAACCUCGACACUCCAAAAUGCCAGUCGCUUAAUGGAUGGCGAAGUGCAUGUUACAUAUGUCACUCAUUGGGAAACGAUUCCUGGACUUAUUGCUACCUCAAAGUUUUUAAAUUGUGUUCGUACAUCUAUUGUUUCUGAAAGAAUACGAAAAUGUUUGCAUAUCUGAGCAAGAAGUUGGAGAUGCCUCAAGGGGCAAAUGUACGUUGCGUCGCUUGGAGUGCGGAGGACAACUUUUUGGCGUGUGGUUGCGAGAAUGGGAUGCUAAAGGUUUUGAAGAUCGAGGGGGCACAACCUGCCGCACAAGAGAAAAGCGAAAAUUCAUCAACGUUGGCGAAUGGCAGUAAUGUAACGAUAAAUCCAAAUCGAGGUUUGCUUGCGGCCCCAUCAAAUAUUGCAAUGAAUCAAACACUGGAAGGGCACAGCUCGAAUAUCCAAGUCAUUGCGUGGAAUAAUGUGCAUCAAAAGUUGACGACGAGUGACGCAAAGGGUCUCAUUAUCGUAUGGAUGCUGUACAAGGGAACUUGGUACGAAGAAAUGGUCAACAAUCGAAACCGUUCUACUGUACGGGGUCUUGGCUGGUCUCAUGAUGGGGGCAAAAUCUGCAUAGUUUAUGAAGACGGAGGUGUGAUUGUUGGCUCUGCUGAUGGGAAUCGGUUAUGGGGAAAGGAUAUUAAAAACAUAACCCUUUCAGGAGUUACGUGGUCUCCUGAUGCUAAAAUGAUACUUUUUGUUGUUCAAUCUGGAGAGAUCCAUGUGUAUGAUACUGAUGGGAAUUAUAUGUCUAAAAUGAAUCUUGAGCGUUGGCCAAGAUACGAUACUGGAGACGGUUCUGAACCAAUUGUAGCUGUCAAAUGGAAAAAUUCCAAAUCUGACGCAGAUUCUCCAUGUUUGGCAGUGAUAUGGAGGUCUAGUAGAUUGACGUUACUCCACAAUGUGACAGAUGACAAUCCAAUUAUUGUGGAUACACAACUGGUUUGUUCAUGUGGGGAUUGGAGUCCCAAUGGAAUGUAUAUUGCAGUGGGUGGUUCUCCAUCUAAUGCUACUCAGGGCAAAACGAAUGAACCUGAACAAGUCAAUAUCUACGACCCAAAUGGAAAGUUUCUACAAAUGGUUAGAACUCCAGGAUCCCCUUUGACUUCUUUAUCUUGGGACUAUUUGUCUCUCCGCUUGGCUAUCGGUGCUGGUCCUCAUGUCUACUUUGCUAAUUUGAGACCAUUGUACAAGUUUGCAUUUUUUGGAUCUAACGUUUUCGCAUAUUGUUUUGUGCGAGCGGAUGAUACGCAGCAUAUUGCAUUCUGGGACACGGUCAAGAUUACUACGCAAGAAAUACCAGGAAAAGUGAUUGACGUAAAAGGGGAUGAAGACCAUUUCGCAGUUUUGUCAAUUAAUCCGUCAAGUGUCUACAACAUUUCAAUCUUGAAUGCCGUUGGAGCACCCGUGGACAGCUUAAGUGUGACGACAAUGGAGCCAUUUACCAUCGCUUUGACUGAAUCAAUUCUUGUUUGUCUUGCACAAAAUGCGGUUCUCUUGUGGCGUUACCAGUCUGCCACAUCGCAAAAUGCGAUUCCUACCGAUAUUGCAUCCAGACGUCGAGAACGAGCAUUUCACAUUGACGAAACUCCGAACUUUCUUCCAGAUGCCAAUGACCAAUCCGAGUAUAAUCGUGAGCCUGCAUUUCAGGAUUUGAUCAAACAGAAAACGACGGAUUCUGCAGUAUGUUGUGACGCAAAACCUCACUUGCUCGUAAUUGGGCGAGACUCUGGAAGAAUUCAGCUUUACUCUUUGCCUCACGGAGUAAUGUUGAACGUGCUGGAUAUUGCAAUGGAGCUUGGUAUUCGGUCACAACGCAUAAUUCUCAACUCUGACGGCCUACAAAUGGCCAUGCUGGAUAUCGGUGGUCAUCUCAGUGUCUGUUCAUUGAGCACGAGUUCCAUGAAAAGUUCAACUAUAAGAAAGUAUGACAGAAAGGAUAUUUGGAAUUUAGUGUGGGCAAGAGACAAUCCUAAUUUAAUGUGCAUCAUGGAAAAAACGAGAAUGUACGUGAUGAAAAAUGGCGAAGUUGAAGAGCCGUUGGUUAGCUCUGGAUACCUUGCAUAUUUUAAGGAUCUGGAAGUUACUAUGAUUCUUAUGGACGAGAUAAUGCAAAACCCAGAAAAUCCACAACCCGAGUUUGUCACAAAAAUUGAGACCCGUGCUCUCAGAGACAUUCGAUCACUGAUUGACAAAGAAACAUCACUCGACGAUGUGUGUCAAUACGUUGAGGAUAACAGUCAUCCAAGUCUGUGGCGAAUUUUGGCUCAAGCUGCUUUGAAUAAAUUGGAUCUAACUGUUGCAGAAGCGUCUUUUGUGCGAUGCAGAGACUACGCAGGGGUUCAACUUACCAAGAGGAUUUCAAAUAUUCCAAAUGAAAGCGUCCGGAAAGCGGAAGUGUGCACGUUCUUUGAAGAUUUUGAUGAAGCUGAAAAAUUGUACCUUGAAGCAGACAGAAAGGAUUUGGCUGUUGAGAUGUGGAAAUUAAUCGGGGACUGGAAACGGGUCGAAGCGUUGACCAAGCAACGCCCUUCUGACAAAACUUAUCGAGAAAUGUGCCUAGCUCUUGGGGACACGUUGUCAGAACAGCAAGAAUGGACCAAAGCCUUGACACACUAUGAAAAAGGGGAGGAUUCUGUCAAACUUAUCAACUGCUACCUGAUGAUGGAAGACUAUGCCAACUUGGAUAAACUUGCAUCUACGUUGUCCGAAACAAGUCCUCUUCUCCCCCAGAUUGCUGCUGCUUUCGAAGCUGUAGGACUUACGACGGAAGCUGUCAAAACUUUCUUGGCAUGCGGAAUGGCGGAGAAAGCUGUCGAAACCGCGGUGGUGUUGUCCCAAUGGAAUUUGGCAAUGGAGCUGGCACAAAAGCAUUCACUGCACAAUGUUGCCCCUGUUUUGCUACGAUACACUGGUCAUCUUCUCGAAAACGGAGAAAUAAUGCAGGCAGUGGAAUUGCUGAGAAAAUCUGACAAACCUUUUGCUGCUGGAAAGUUACUUGCAAUGUUGGCCUUGCGAGAAUUGAACAGUGACGAAAACCCAAACCUUGUAGCUGUCAAGAAGAUUUUUGUCAUGUCUGCAAUGAUGUUUACAUACAAAACCAAAAAGUUUUUCCGAGAAGGGAGACCACGAUCUGAGAAAAGUGCUGUGAGUGACAUGGGAGAGGAAAAUGCAGAUCUGUCCUUCGAAAAACAUAUUCCGGACGAAUUUCGACCCACUGCUGAAGAGUUUCGUUGGAUGCGAGAAACACCAUGGAGGGGAGCUGAAGCUGUUCAUUUUCUUGUUUUGGUCCAAAGAUUCAUUCAUCAAGCUCAGUUUGGAAAUGCGACGAAAGCUGCUUUGCAUUUAAGAAAUUUUGCAGACAUUCUCGGAGAAGAGCGGGUCAGCACGCUUCUUGCCCUCGCCGCCGCAAACAACAAAUGCUACAAUAUCUGCUCCAGAGCUUUUAUAAAUUUGGAAUUGUUGGACGAAGAUUACAGCGACAUUGCGUCGGAACUCUUUUGUGACCGAGUACCAAAGGAUUCCAGAGGACAAAAGGUGGAGUGCUCAACGUGUGGGACCAUCAUUCCAGAAUACAGUAGUCAAUGUUUAAGUUGCGACACUCGUUUCCCUGUUUGUACAGCAACCGGCCGUGCAAUCACCGAUUCUAGUUGUAUCUGGAUCUGUGAAGUUUGUCGUCAUUCGGCAGACUCGAAAGAAAUUUUGCAUCGACGCUUUUGUCCCUUGUGCCAUUCUGAAAUCCGCUCCACUAAUGAAGCUUCCAGCACCAAUGCGUAUUAAAUACGUACAUAAAUCUCUGGUGUUAAACUUCUUUGUUAAAAAAUUCUAUUGCAUAUUUAUAAGUUUUUAUCACACCCCAUGGCAAAUAGUUAACAAAGGUUAUUAAACUUUACUAUGACAGGUCUGUUGAUUUGCAUACAUAAAUCACCAAACUGUUAAGUACUUUGGCUGGGUUGAGAAGUUUUAGCGAUGGUGUAUAAUGGUGCAACGGUCUGAUAUACAUUUUAUGUGAGUAGCUCUGUUUACUUGUGCUGAGGUACUUUUUUGUGGGGUUAUCCAACUAAAUAAACCAUAUUUUUUUGUUGAUUGUGGUCGAUACUUUUUUUAAGAAAUGUAUGAAAGCACACAAAUCUGGUUUACUUAUUUGCAUGCAUAUGUAUGGUUGCCUCCUUUGUAUAUGCGAUACGAAAUAUAUGUGAAUACAUGCAUAAUAUCUAUAUAUUCAUUACACAUGUGUAUGUGCAAUUGGAAUCCGCUCUAUAUUCAUGAAAUUUUAGCCAUUAAUUAAGGUAUCCAACUGAACGAGUAACAUUAACAAUUUGAUUAAUAAGAGAUAAUGCAGUAAAAAUGAGUAGCAUGUGCCAAAUGAGGUUGUAAAUAAUUAAGUGAACAACUGCAUUUACAUGAUAACCAAAACUUUAUUAAGUUAUAAACGUAUGAACAAUAAGAAUAUCAGCACAUGUAAUAGUCGUCGUGAUACAAUUGGCUAUCCGAGUUAACCUGAAUUGAUUGAUUCAUUAUAAAUAGAACAAAAUAUAAAUUAUACGUUUUACAUAAGCACCUUUCAUCACGGAAUAACAGGUUGACUACAAAAUUAAAGGGAUUUCGAGAAAUAGCAAACAAAAAAUUACUGUAAAUGCCAUUGAACUAAAAUCAUUUUUCAUAAUAUAAUUUUAUA